GACGAACGCUGGCGGCGUGCCUAAUACAUGCAAGUAGAACGCUGAAGGAGGAGCUUGCUUCUCUGGAUGAGUUGCGAACGGGUGAGUAACGCGUAGGUAACCUGCCUGGUAGCGGGGGAUAACUAUUGGAAACGAUAGCUAAUACCGCAUAACAGUAGAUAUCGCAUGAUAUCUACUUGAAAGGUGCAAUUGCAUCACUACCAGAUGGACCUGCGUUGUAUUAGCUAGUUGGUGAGGUAACGGCUCACCAAGGCGACGAUACAUAGCCGACCUGAGAGGGUGAUCGGCCACACUGGGACUGAGACACGGCCCAGACUCCUACGGGAGGCAGCAGUAGGGAAUCUUCGGCAAUGGACGGAAGUCUGACCGAGCAACGCAGCGUGAGUGAAGAAGGUUUUCGGAUCGUAAAGCUCUGUUGUAAGAGAAGAACGAGUGUGAGAGUGGAAAGUUCACACUGUGACGGUAUCUUACCAGAAAGGGACGGCUAACUACGUG
rnacentral:rRNA from 1 species